rnacentral:rRNA from 1 species
GCACAAGCAGCGGAGCGUGUGGUUUAAUUCGAUGCUACACGAAGAACCUUACAGGGUUUGACAUGCAAGUGGUAGGAAGCCGAAAGGUGACCGACCCUUCGGGAGCUUGCACAGGUGCUGCAUGGCUGUCGUCAGCUCGUGUCGUGAGAUGUUCGGUUAAGUCCGCUAACGAGCGCAACCCUCGCUGUGUGUUAUAUGUGUCACACGGGACUGCCGGUCUUAAGCCGGAGGAAGGUGGGGAUGAUGUCAAGUCAGCAUGGCCUUUAUAUCCUGGGCUACACACACGCUACAAUGGCCAACACAAUAGGUUGCUAAGCCGCGAGGUGGCGCCAAUCCAUAAAGUUGGUCUCAGUUCAGAUUGUAGGCUGCAACCCGCCUGCAUGAAGAUGGAGUUGCUAGUAGCCGCAGGUCAGCUAUACUGCGGUGAAUACGUUCCCGGGGCUU